UCACAGGAGUUUUGGGAGCACAACCAGGGGCUGCACUUGGACCCUGCCAUGGGACGAGGUCUGCUCCUGUCUGCCUCCUGGGGGACCCCUCCUUGUGUGAGUCCCCUCUGAAGCCCUGCAAAACCUGGUCUGGGUCCUGAACAGCCCUGCCGAGGCCUGGCCUGUUGGACACAGGUGCCCAAAAUCUGCUCAGAGCACUCUGGGCCCUGUGGAGUGGUUCCUGUUCCUGGGGCGCUAAAGCGAAUGAGGGUGUUUCUCUGAUCCAUAAGAGCCUCCUGCCCGUUCACCCAUCCAUAGCCUCUGGGGACACCUUCAAUAGUAGGAAUCACUAGUGUCAGGUUGGAUCUACGAACACAAGACACAGAAACACCAGCUGGAGGAGCCCAGGAGGCCCAACAGGUGAGGUUAUCUACUGAACAGGCACGUUGCCCUAGUCUGUGGGUCACUGAGUGCCCGGACCAGGGCUUCAGGGGGUUCCGGCUGAG
rnacentral:lncRNA from 1 species